rfam:Chelativorans sp. BNC1, complete genome.
CGGAGUGUAGCGCAGCUUGGUAGCGCACCUCGUUCGGGACGAGGGGGUCGCAGGUUCAAAUCCUGCCACUCCGA